GACAGAGAAUGCAAACGUUUGUUCGGAAUUACUGGGCGUAAAGCGCGUGUAGACGGCAAGGCAAGUCGGAUGUGAAAGCCCGCGGCUCAACCGUGGAAGUGCACUCGAAACUGCCUAGCUAGAGUCUCGGAGAGGAAGGUGGAAUGCUUGGUGUAGAGGUGAAAUUCGUAGAUAUCAAGCAGAACACCUAUGGCGAAGGCGGCCUUCUGGACGAUGACUGACGCUGAGACGCGAAAGCGUGGGGAGCAAACAGG
rnacentral:rRNA from 1 species